CAUCCUGCUCUGGCAGUUAUUUAAACAGAAGCCUCCAGGAGACAUACAAUCAACACUCCACUCAGACAAUGCCCAGACCUCCAGAAAUCAUGUGUCAAGCUUGGAUUGCCUUAGACAGGUGCAAUUUUAAAACAGCUUUCAUCCUCUUUUCUCUCAUAUUGUCACACUAUGAGUUCUGACUUCUGGCUCCUUUCCUCAUAAGAAGCUCACCCAGCUGGAACUCUUAUGGGACCUUGGCACCAGAGAUCACCAAUUCCUCUUUGAAGUUUUCUAACAGCAUCAAUGGUAUUUCUGACUUGGCUUUCUUGUAUUUCUCUCACAUUAACAAAACUGGUUGAGCAUCUACCACGGGCUACAUGCUGAGCUACAGCCCUUGUCCAGUUUGACCUGGGCACUCACUGCUGCUUUGGUGGUGCUGUUGAUGAAACUGCCAAAGGAGCUGAAUAUGACUGACAUCUUUGGAAGGAUGAGACUUAGCGUGCCCGUACAGUUGUGUCCAAAUGCUGUCCUUAUCUCCCAAUGGAAAGGUAUUGUAAAUAAAGAGAAAGGUCAGAAGCUUAUUUUAAACACUAAAUAUGAGCUAGGAGCUGUCCUAGACACUAUGUAAAAGUUUUAUUUAGUUCUCACUGUAAUGUUGGCCUUAUGUUAUUAUCCCAGUUUUUAGACUGAGGAAAUUAUGGCUCAGAGAGGUUAAGAGACCUAUUGAAGAUCACACAGCUCCACAAACUUUUGUGUAGACUGAAUGUGUACAUGGGUCUAUGUGACUUUGAAUCUUGUGUUCUUUACCUUAGUGGACUAUUUCACAGAAGGAAAAUGAAAUAUUAACAUGGCAAUAACAUUUCUGGUUCCAGUCUGAUUAUUGGUUUUCCAAGAGUGUUAUAGGAUGUAUAGCCUGAGUCUCUGAAGCUUUGUUCUGAAGCAUGCUAUCAAUAUGAACAAAUUGGUAUGGAAGGAAGCCACAAAUUAUACUAAAAUCUAGUUCAUCAGAGGAAAAUAUUGUUAAAUACAAUUACAUUCCCAGAACUGUUCAUAUUGAAGAAUAAAACACACAGUGGGAAAGAGACGAAGAGAAAAUAUGCCUGUUUUUAUGACUUGUUGAUAUCUAUGGGGUUUUUCCUUAAGCCUCACAACAAUUUCCAGCAUUGCCAGCAGCAUUCAGUACAUUCAGAACAGGAUCAUUUCACCCGCAGCUGAACUAGGGCCAUGCCUGGGACAGACAGAGAAUGGCCUUCCAGCAGACAUGCCAAGGAGCAAGCCAGGGUCAGUGAGUGAAGAGGAGGGCAGGCCCAUUUGAAGCAACACAGUUUAUGUAAGUGUGAUCUAACUGCUUUCACUGGAAAUGGGUCAGGUUCCAGUUGAGAGAACCAGGGGCCUGAAUGACCCCAGCAAAAUCACUGUGGCAUUUCUUUCAAUCACCUCCGAGAAUAUGGCCCUGUGACGACAUAAUGACACUUGGAUUCAUUUCAGUCGGCCGUGUUUCCUCCUCCUUUCUUGCUUCCCCAUAGUUGAUUUGCCAAAUUUUUUUUGUUUGCUUAAAUACGCUAAACUAAACAGGAUACAUUAUACGACAGUCCGUGAUAAAUUUACCACUGGGAAAAGGGAAAAAGUAUGGGAUAAAGAAAUAGGUCUUUUUCGCCUCUCACAGCUGUGAUUCAGUUCUGACUCAAAAGGAAGUGUGCCACCUACUGAAUCACGGAAACCACUUCCUGUGGUUGUUUGGUUUAUUCUGGAGGAGCAUCAGGCCAAGUGCUGCCCUGCCCUGACCCUGACUGGCUCUUCAGAGCCAAGGCAUUCACAGCUUGAGGUGGUUUGGCCUCAGACUCUUGAGAACAUUGCAUAUUAAAUUACAAGUGUUUCGUUUCCUAGCAAGGAGUCUUUAGCAACAUGAAAACGAACAUGUGUUAUUUGCAAACCAAGUGUAUCAUUACUGAACCUGAAUAGCCUUACUUUUUCAUAAGGUAUGUAUUCCGGAUGACCACUCUUAAGAUCCGAAUGUACACUGGUUCUGUUUAUCCUGAGGGGAACUUGGGCAGUCUGCAGGGUGGCGUUUCCCAGCUGAGGGACUUCAAGAGCACCCCUUACUCAGUGAAGCAGCACUCAACUUGUAUUCACUCACUCAACGUAUUUCUAAGCAUGUACUUAUUGCCAUGUGCUGUGCUAGGAAGGAGUAAGGAUAGAGUGGCGAACAAGACCCCACAGCUCCUGACCUCAUGGCUCAUGUGUUCCACACCGUAAGGGAAUUAUGCUCUGUCUCUCGGGGCAGGGACCUUCCUCUGUUCACCAUGCAACCCCAGCAUCUAGCACCUGGCCUUGCAUAAAGCACCUCUAAAUCAGGCUUGUCCAACCCAAGGCCCACGGGCCACAUGUGGCCCAGGAUGGCUUUGAAUGCAGCCAAACACAAAUUUGUACACUUUCUUAAAACAUUAUAAGAUUUGUGUGUAUGUGUUUUAGUCCAUCAGCUAUUGUUAGUGUUAGUGUAUUUUAUGUGUGGCCCAAGACAAUUCUUCUAUGUGGCCCAGGGAAGCCAAAAGAUUGAAGACUCCUGCUCUAAAUACUUGUUUGUUGAAUAGAUACGGGAAAAGAAAGAAGGAGGGAAGGAAGAAAGGAUGGAGGAAGGAAAGAAAGAAGGGUGGGAAGAAGGGAGAAAGG